rnacentral:rRNA from 1 species
AGAGUUUGAUCAUGGCUCAGAUUGAACGCUGGCGGCAGGCCUAACACAUGCAAGUCGAGCGGAUGAGGGGUGCUUGCACCCCGAUUCAGCGGCGGACGGGUGAGUAAUGCCUAGGAAUCUGCCCGAUAGUGGGGGACAACGUUUCGAAAGGAACGCUAAUACCGCAUACGUCCUACGGGAGAAAGUGGGGGCUCUUCGGACCUCACGCUAUCGGAUGAGCCUAGGUCGGAUUAGCUAGUUGGUGGGGUAAAGGCCCACCAAGGCGACGAUCCGUAACUGGUCUGAGAGGAUGAUCAGUCACACUGGAACUGAGACACGGUCCAGACUCCUACGGGAGGCAGCAGUGGGGAAUAUUGGACAAUGGGCGAAAGCCUGAUCCAGCCAUGCCGCGUGUGUGAAGAAGGUCUUCGGAUUGUAAAGCACUUUAAGUCGGGAGGAAGGGCUGUAGGUUAAUACCCUGCGGUUUUGACGUUACCGACAGAAUAAGCACCGGCUAACUUCGUGCCAGCAGCCGCGGUAAUACGAAGGGUGCAAGCGUUAAUCGGAAUUACUGGGCGUAAAGCGCGCGUAGGUGGUUUGGUAAGUUGGAUGUGAAAGCCCCGGGCUCAACCUGGGAACUGCAUCCAAAACUGCCUGACUAGAGUACGGUAGAGGGUGGUGGAAUUUCCUGUGUAGCGGUGAAAUGCGUAGAUAUAGGAAGGAACACCAGUGGCGAAGGCGACCACCUGGACUGAUACUGACACUGAGGUGCGAAAGCGUGGGGAGCAAACAGGAUUAGAUACCCUGGUAGUCCACGCCGUAAACGAUGUCGACUAGCCGUUGGGCUCCUUGAGAGCUUAGUGGCGCAGCUAACGCAUUAAGUCGACCGCCUGGGGAGUACGGCCGCAAGGUUAAAACUCAAAGGAAUUGACGG